rnacentral:tRNA from 1 species
UUAGCAGAAGCCAAAUAGAGGCUUAUUAUUGUUAAUAAUAGAAUUGAUAUAUCCUGU